UACGUAGGGGGCUAGCGUUGUCCGGAAUCAUUGGGCGUAAAGAGCGUGUAGGCGGCCCGGUAAGUCCGCUGUGAAAGUCGGGGGCUCAACCCUCGAAUGCCGGUGGAUACUGUCGGGCUAGAGUGCGGAAGAGGCGAGUGGAAUUCCUGGUGUAGCGGUGAAAUGCGCAGAUAUCAGGAGGAACACCGGCGGCGAAGGCGGUGCUCUGGGCCAGUAUUGACGCUGAGGAGCGAAAGCGUGGGUAGCAAACAGG
rnacentral:rRNA from 1 species